rnacentral:rRNA from 1 species
UGCCAGCAGCCGCGGUAAUACGUAGGGGGCAAGCGUUAUCCGGAAUUACUGGGUGUAAAGGGUGCGUAGGCGGCAAGAUAAGUCAGGUGUGAAAUCCCCGUGCUCAACACGGGAGCUGCACUUGAAACUGUUUAGCUAGAGUACAGGAGAGGUAAGUGGAAUUCCUAGUGUAGCGGUGAAAUGCGUAGAUAUUAGGAGGAACACCAGUGGCGAAGGCGACUUACUGGACUGUAACUGACGCUGAGGCACGAAAGCGUGGGGAGCAAACAGGAUUAGAUACCCUGGUAGUCCACGCUGUAAACGAUGAGUACUAGGUGUCGGGGUUUAAAGACUUCGGUGCCGCAGCUAACGCAAUAAGUACUCCACCUGGGAAGUACGAUCGCAAGAUUGAAACUCAAAGGAAUUGGCGG